rnacentral:rRNA from 1 species
CAGCCGCCGCGGUAAUACGAAGGGGGCUAGCGUUGCUCGGAAUGACUGGGCGUAAAGGGCGCGUAGGCGGAUUGUUUAGUUAGGCGUGAAAGCCCCGGGCUCAACCUGGGAAUGGCAAUGGAUACUGGCGAGCUAGAGUGUGUCAGAGGAUGGUGGAAUUCCCGGUGUAGCGGUGAAAUUCGUAGAUAUUCGGAAGAACACCAGUGGCGAAGGCGACAUACUGGUCCAUUACUGACGCUGAGGCUCGAAAGCGUGGGGAGCAAACAGGAUUAGAUACCCGCGUAGUCCCUGUUUCUUAUAC